CAGCCGAGUUUAUUUCAGGUAUUCUCAUUUUAGAAAAUCAUCUCUGGUUUAUCGUUGAAAAGACGUUGGUAUUGCCUUGGUGGAGUGAUGGAAAAUUAUAUCCGGCUUCUCUCGUGAUAUCUAAUGGUAUGUCUGUAGGAUAAAGUUCCAUAUUAUUUUAGCAUUAUCGUUUUCUGAGACAUAUGGAGGUCCAUAUGUGUGUGCCAGAGAUCUUUUCUCUUGAAACAGUUGGAACUGGGUGGUUAGACGAAUACGAGCUGCUGUGCGCCUGAUUAUGUUGCGUUGGAGCUAGAAGAGGACAUCCUGACACAAUAUGAUAUCUUCUGGUGCUCAGAAAAUACACCAUACCAAGAUUGUAGCAGUUGUGUAUAUUCCUUCGAAUAAAUCUAACAUGAUGACUUA
rnacentral:lncRNA from 1 species